rnacentral:lncRNA from 1 species
GCAAAAUCAUGCUGCUAGUAUUGCCAAUAUAUUCGUCCUUUUCAACUUAUAAAGAUAUAUAGUAUACCAACAUAUCACAUAUAUAGUAGUGAGUGAUGAGGUGCAUUGUGGGAGUUUUCUUUUUGGCUUUUUUAGUCCAGCAAGUUUUGCUCUCUCCAUUGUAGAGAGCAAUAGCUUUGAUAUUUUAGCUUUACUGCGUUUUGAAGUGUCACCACUAGGUGGCAGUGGAUACCUUACCAAUGGUUUGCUCUGUUAGCUUAUCAAAUCUUUUUAAAAAAACACUUUAUGGGCUGGGGAGAUAGCUCAGUGGGUAAGAGCAUAAACUGCUCUUCCGAAGGUCCCAAGUUCAAAUCCCAGCAACCACCCAUAAUGAGAUCUGAUGCCCUCUUUUGGAGCGAGCGGAGCCAAUCGGAGCAAGUCCUAAAUUCAAUUCCUAACAACCACAUGAAGGCUUACAGCCAUCUGUACAGCUACAGUGUACUCAUAUACAUAAAAUAAAUAAAUAAAUCUCUAAAAAAAGAUUCAAACCAAUGCAAAAGUCUCAGCUUUGAUUCCUAUCACUAGUAGUGAUAUUUUGAAACAUUUUGAAAAUUGUCAUUAAUGUAAUGAACUCAAAGGAAACUUGGCCUGAGAGAAGAACUUGUCAGAGAAUUGUAUAUUAAAGAAUGUGUUGACAAAGUUCAGGAGAUGAUAAGAAUUUUUAAGUUGAAUGUGUUGUAGAAUGCAUCAUUCAGUUUCACUCCUAGAGAUAUUACUAACAUUCUCUAAAGUCCUUAGGUGCUCUUACCAUUCGAUCUUUGCAGUUCUCAGUGUUAGAAUUUCUUGCACUUUAAAUAUUUUUAUAUAAUUAAAGGCUUUGUGCCUUCAGAUAGCCAACUUUCAUAUAUACUCUUGGGAAAAGAUUAGAGGACUUAAGUCUGGCAAUUUGGGGGGGAGUGUUAGCAAAAAAAUUUUAUAGCUUUUUAAAUAAAUUAUAGGUAAAUAGGUUGAAAUAUAGCUUUUCUGCUAUAUAUAUCAUUUUAUCAGAAUUACAAUAAAAAACAACAAAGGAUCACUUUAGUUAAGUUUUAUAUAUAGAUCAGUGUACUUUAUAAGAUUUAAUAUUAAGUUGUAAGUAAGCAGCCAUAGGUUAAGUAAGUUAUAAGUUAUGAUUCCAUAAAAUUAUUUUCAUAAAUUAUAUGCCUCUCAUACCAUUUUGACUCUCUUUGUAGGUCCCAAUCUACCCAUGGCUACAGUUGACAUAAAAAAUCCAGAAAUCACAACAAAUAGAUUUUAUGGUUCACAAGUCAACAACAUCUCCCACACCAAAGAAAAGAAGAAAGGAAAAGCUAAAAAGAAGAGAUUAACCAAGGCAGAUAUUGGAACACCAAGUAAUUUCCAGUAAGACUCAUCUUUUGUGUUCUCAUCAUUU